rnacentral:rRNA from 1 species
GACGAACGCUGGCGGCGUGCUUAACACAUGCAAGUCGAACGCUGAAGCUCAGCUUGCUGGGUGGAUGAGUGGCGAACGGGUGAGUAACACGUGAGUAACCUGCCCUCUUCUUUGGGAUAACGCCCGGAAACGGGUGCUAAUACUGGAUAUUCACUGAUUCUCGCAUGGGGGUUGGUGGAAAGGUUUUUUCUGGUGGGGGAUGGGCUCGCGGCCUAUCAGCUUGUUGGUGGGGUGAUGGCCUACCAAGGCUUUGACGGGUAGCCGGCCUGAGAGGGUGACCGGUCACAUUGGGACUGAGAUACGGCCCAGACUCCUACGGGGGGCAGCAGUGGGGAAUAUUGCACAAUGGGCGAAAGCCUGAUGCAGCGACGCCGCGUGAGGGAUGGAGGCCUUCGGGUUGUAAACCUCUUUCGCUCAUGGUCAAGCCGCAGCUUUGGGUUGUGGUGAGGGUAGUGGGUAAAGAAGCGCCGGCUAACUACGUG